UACAGAGGUGGCAAGCGUCGUUCGGAAUUACUGGGCGUAAAGGGCGCGUAGGCGGCCGCCUAAGUCAGACGUGAAAUCCCCAGGCUUAACUUGGGAACUGCGUCUGAUACUGGGUGGCUUGAGUUCGGGAGAGGAAUGUGGAAUUCCAGGUGUAGCGGUGAAAUGCGUAGAUAUCUGGAGGAACACCGGUGGCGAAGGCGGCAUUCUGGACCGAAACUGACGCUGAGGCGCGAAAGCCAGGGGAGCAAACGGG
rnacentral:rRNA from 1 species